UACGUAGGGGGCUAGCGUUGUCCGGAAUCAUUGGGCGUAAAGAGCGUGUAGGCGGCCCGGUAAGUCCGCUGUGAAAGUCGGGGGCUCAACCCUCGGAUGCCGGUGGAUACUGUCGGGCUCGAGUACGGAAGAGGCGAGUGGAAUUCCACGUGUAGCAGUGAAAUGCGUAGAGAUGUGGAGGAAUACCGAUGGCGAAGGCGGCCUGCUGGGCAGUUGCUGACACUGAGGCGCGACAGCGUGGGGAGCAAACAGG
rnacentral:rRNA from 1 species